rnacentral:lncRNA from 1 species
CCCUGUUAAAAACAUCUUUCUAGGUUAACAAAAACCACACUCGGAUCCGCCAAUGAACCAAACAUUGUAUGUGUCUUACUCUCGUUCUAUUGCAGGGUUUUCUUUGUCUACAUUCUCAGGUCUCAUGUCUCGGAGGAUGAGUGUGUCUGGAAGCAGACAAUGCAUUCUGUAGACACUAACGAACUCUUCGGUCAACGAAUAAGGAACUCCAUGAUCUCUCGGUUUCUUCAGACCAACUAAUCCGCUAAGUAUUGGUCCAAAUCUUGCCCCAAUCUUGUCCUUCACUUUCUUCCCUAAAAAUCCAUACCAGUUGAUCCUCAUUCCUGCAGUAAGUGUGUCUGUCUUCAAGAGUUCUAAUGUCCAAUGAGGAAAAAUUAAGCAAAUUGUCAGAAAAUUGGUGAUAUAGAAGAAGAAGCAUGGGUUUGACUUACUCUCCAAGGCAGCCAUAUCUAUAAGGUUAGGUCUAUCUUCUCCAUAGAUAUCUUGAGCCACAAGGUUCCUCAUCCAAUUAGGGUAAUUCCACAAUGUCAAGGCACCACAAGAUUGGUGUCCCAUUGAAACUAGUAACUGCUCAAACCCGAUCCUUGAGUCCGUUUUUCCUCCUUCCUUCCCAAUUAGUUUUGUCAUCGGUACCCUGUUAAAAACAUCUUUCUAGGUUAACAAAAACCACACUCGGAUCCGCCAAUGAACCAAACAUUGUAUGUGUCUUACUCUCGUUCUAUUGCAGGGUUUUCUUUGUCUACAUUCUCAGGUCUCAUGUCUCGGAGGAUGAGUGUGUCUGGAAGCAGACAAUGCAUUCUGUAGACACUAACGAACUCUUCGGUCAACGAAUAAGGAACUCCAUGAUCUCUCGGUUUCUUCAGACCAACUAAUC